UCAACAGGAAUGAUCUCUCUUGGUGUUUCCUUGUUCAGGUUUAGUUUCACUUUCUCUGACAGUUGCGCCACAGGCUCCCUGUGGCGCAGAUAAAUUUCUACAUCCAGCUGAAGGUAACGAAACCGCUUUAAAUGUUUGAGUCGUUACUUAAAGCUGUUGUUAACUUAGUUACACUAGAAACAACACAUUACUGUGGCUAAACUGUUUAUUAAUCAGAGCUCAGCAUUAACUGUAAUUAAAUUUGGGACGACGGAGAAACAACCGCCAUUAAAAUUUAUUUUGUGUCGAUAUUUGAGGAGUUUGUGAUUUGAGUUGAUGGUCAGUAUUUGAACACAGUGUUGUUAUUACUGUGUCCAACACUUACUGAUGACUGACAGCAGGUUUUCCUGCCUGAUUCAGCCUGUGGAGGAGGCGGAGAUGAGCCGCUGCUCUCCCCGCUGUCUGAGACACUAAAUGCGGCUCCGCUCGGCCGGACAGCCGCUGAAGAACAGCUUUGACUUUCUGUGUCUACAGGUGGAGCUCUGACUCGUUCCAGGAAACAGCUCACCUGGCAAACACGUUUCUGACGGACGUGGAGUGGAGAGUCUUUGUCUUCAGCAGUUUGGAUGUUAACUAUGAAGGUAGAAAGUGUGUGUGACUGAUGUGGAUGUGACUUCAGCAGCAUGGAUCAGUGUGAGGACAGAGAGGAGGGAGUCCCUCCCUCUAAACGCUCUCGGUGUGGGGAACAUGACAGCCAGACCAAAGCUCAGAGGAGAACAAGGACACAGCACAAACCAGACUCUGCUGGACCUGAACCUGAACCUGAACCUGAACCCAGCUGUGUGUCCUUCAAGAGCGACGAAUCAAUGCAACCACCAUUAGCUUUCAAAAAUCAACAUUCUUCACAGAAAGAAGUGGACCAGGAGAGCUCAGAGGUUCC